rnacentral:rRNA from 1 species
UACGUAGGGUGCGAGCGUUAAUCGGAAUUACUGGGCGUAAAGCGUGCGCAGGCGGUUUUGUAAGCCAGAUGUGAAAUCCCCGGGCUUAACCUGGGAAUGGCAUUUGGGACUGCAAGGCUUGAGUGCGGCAGAGGAGACUGGAAUUCCUGGUGUAGCGGUGAAAUGCGCAGAUAUCAGGAGGAACACCGGUGGCGAAGGCGGGUCUCGUGGGCCGUAACUGACGCUGAGGAGCGAAAGCAUGGGGAGCGAACAGG